GACGAACGCUGGCGGCGUGCUUAACACAUGCAAGUCGAACGAUGAAGCCGGAGCUUGCUCUGGGUACACGAGUGGCGAACGGGUGAGUAACACGUGGGUGAUCUGCCCUGCACUUCGGGAUAAGCCUGGGAAACUGGGUCUAAUACCGGAUACGACCCUCGGAGGCAUCUACUGGGGGUGGAAAGAAUUUCGGUCAAGGAUGGACUCGCGGCCUAACAGCUAGUUGGUGGGGUAAAGGCUAACCAAGGCGACGACGGGUAGCCGGCCUGAGAGGGUGACCGGCAACACGGGGACUGAGAGACGGCCCAGACUCCAACGGGAGGCAGCCGUGGGGAAUAUUGUACAAUGGGCGCAAGCCUGAUGCAGCAGCGCCGCGUGAGGGAUGACGGCCUUCGGGUUGUAAACCUCUUUUAGUAGGGAAGAAGCGAAAGUGACGGUACCUGCAGAAAAAGCACCGGCUAACUACGUGCCAGCCGCCGCAGUAA
rnacentral:rRNA from 1 species